GAUGAACGCUAGCGGCAGGCCUAACACAUGCAAGUCGAGGGGCAGCACAGAAACAGCAAUGUUUUGGUGGCGACCGGCGGACGGGUGCGUAACGCGUAUGCAACCUACCUUUAACAGGGGGAUAACGGAGAGAAAUUUCCACUAAUACCCCAUAACAUCGAUCAAGGCAUCUUGAUUGGUUGAAAACUCCGGUGGUUAAAGAUGGGCAUGCGUUGUAUUAGGUAGUUGGUGAGUUAAUGGCUCACCAAGCCUACGGUACAUAGGGGGACUGAGAGGUUAGCCCCCCACACUGGUACUGAGACACGGACCAGACUCCUACGGGAGGCAGCAGUGAGGAAUAUUGGUCAAUGGGGGCAACCCUGAACAAGCCAUGCCGCGUGCAGGAAGACGGCCCUAUGAGUUGUAAACUGCUUUUAAACAGGGAUAAAGCACAGUAUGUAUACUGUGUUGAAGGUACUGUAAGAAUAAGGAUCGGCUAACUCCGUGCCAGCCGCCGCCGUAA
rnacentral:rRNA from 1 species